GGUUUUGAGCUAAGGGUUUAAGGUUUAGGAUUUAGAGUUGAAAGUUUGGGGUUCAGGGUUUAGAGUUGAUGUUUUAGGGUUUUGAGUUGAAGGUUUAGGGUUUAGAGUUUAUGUUUUAGGGUUUAGGGUUUAAAGUUGAAAGUUUAGGGUUUAGAGCUGAUGUUUUAAGGUUUAGAAUUGAUGGUUUAGGGUUUAGAGUUUAGAGCUGAGGUUUUAAGUUUAGAUUGGUUAACCUUAGGGUUUAUUUUUAUCAAAGUUAAUCAUAGGUUAUAAAUGUCUUUUACCUUUCAUUAAAAGAGAGGGU
rnacentral:lncRNA from 1 species